rnacentral:rRNA from 1 species
CCUACGGGUGGCAGCAGUGGGGAAUAUUGGACAAUGGGGGCAACCCUGAUCCAGCCAUGCCGCGUGUGUGAAGAAGGCCCUCGGGUUGUAAAGCACUUUCAGUGAGGAAGAACGCCUGGUGGUUAAUACCCAUCAGGAAAGACAUCACUCACAGAAGAAGCACCGGCUAACUCCGUCCCAGCAGCCGCGGUAAUACGGAGGGUGCGAGCGUUAAUCGGAAUUACUGGGCGUAAAGCGCGCGUAGGUGGCUUGAUAAGCCGGUUGUGAAAGCCCCGGGCUCAACCUGGGAACGGCAUCCGGAACUGUCAAGCUAGAGUGCAGGAGAGGAAGGUAGAAUUCCCGGUGUAGCGGUGAAAUGCGUAGAGAUCGGGAGGAAUACCAGUGGCGAAGGCGGCCUUCUGGACUGACACUGACACUGAGGUGCGAAAGCGUGGGUAGCAAACAGGAUUAGAUACCCCAGUAGUC